UACGUAGGGUGCGAGCGUUAAUCGGAAUUACUGGGCGUAAAGCGUGCGCAGGCGGUUUUGUAAGCCAGAUGUGAAAGCCCCGGGCUUAACCUGGGAAUGGCAUUUGGGACUGCAAGGCUUGAGUGCGGCAGAGGAGACUGGAAUUCCCGGUGUAGCAGUGAAAUGCGUAGAUAUCGGGAGGAAUACCGAUGGCGAAGGCAGGUCUCUGGGCUGACACUGACGCCCAUGCACGAAAGCGUGGGGAGCAAACAGG
rnacentral:rRNA from 1 species